CCACUGGCCCCUCUCGGGGCCACUAUUUUUUCUGUUUAGCAAGCGA
rfam:Egretta garzetta contig40772, whole genome shotgun sequence.